GAUGAAGAACGCAGCGAAAUGCGACAAGUAAUGUGAAUUGCAGAAUUCAGUGAAUCAUCGAAUCUUUGAACGCACAUUGCGCCCCUUGGUAUUCCGAGGGGCAUGCCUGUUCGAGCGUCAUUAUAACCCUCAAGCUCAGCUUGGUGUUGGGGCCUGCUGCACUGGCAGCCCUUAAAAUCAGUGGCGGCGCCAUCUGGCUCUAAGCGUAGUAAUUCUUCUCGCUAUGGAGUCCUGGUGGAUGCUUGCCAUCAACCCCCAAUUUUUCUAUGGUUGACCUCGGAUCAGGUAGGGAUACCCGCUGAACUUAAGCAUAUCAAUAAGCGGAGGA
rnacentral:misc_RNA from 1 species